rnacentral:piRNA from 1 species
UGUUGGUAGAGUUACUGCAGGCUCUUGUU